rfam:Pan troglodytes isolate Yerkes chimp pedigree #C0471 (Clint) chromosome 14, whole genome shotgun sequence.
GCCGGGGGUGGUGGUGCACGCCUGUAAUCCCAGCUACUUGGGAGGCUGAGGCACGAGAAUCACUUGAACCCGGGAGUCAGAUAUUGCAGUGAGGUGAGAUGGUGCCACUGCACUUCAACCUGGGCAACAAAGUGAGACUGUGUCUCAA